rnacentral:rRNA from 1 species
CAGCAGCCGCGGGAAUACAGAGGAUGCAAGCGUUAUCCGGAAUGAUUGGGCGUAAAGCGUCUGUAGGUGGCUUUUCAAGUCCGCCGUCAAAUCCCAGGGCUCAACCCUGGACAGGCGGUGGAAACUACCAAGCUGGAGUACGGUAGGGGCAGAGGGAAUUUCCAGUGGAGCGGUGAAAUGCGUUGAGAUCGAAAAGAACACCAACAGCGAAAGCACUCUGCUGGGACGACACUGACACUAAGAGACGAAAGCUAGGGGAGCAAAUGGGAUUAGAUACCCCAGUAGUCCCUGUCUCUUAUAC